CCUCUUCACCGAACCUGGGGCUCACAGAUUGGCUAGCCCAGCCGGCCAGCAGGUCCUGGGGAUCUUUCUGUCUUCGUAUACGCUGGCUGGGAUUGUAGGCGUCGGCCACCACGCCCGGCUGUUUCACCUGGGUGCUGGGAUCCAAACUCAGGUCCUCAUGUUUGUAUAACUCUUCACCAACCAAGCUGUCUCAGGCUCCGCGACAAACCGUUUCUAAGAUGGUUCAGUAAGAUGAUGCAUCUUUCUUCACGCUUUAGCUAAGUUCACAUGAGUUCCAUAAGAGAGAAAUAUGGAGAACAGGAGCAGCACCUAUGGAGGACAUGAGCAGCACCUAUGGAGGACAUGAGCGGCACCUAUGGAGGACAUGAGCAGUACCUAUGGAGGACAUGAGCGGCACCUAUGGAGGACAUGAGCAGCACCUAUGGAGGACAUGAGCGGCACCUAUGGAGGACAUGAGCAGUACCCGAGGGCUCCUAGCUUCACUCCAACCUCUCAGAACAUUUCAGAGACAAAUUAUUAGCUGAGGUUUGUGAUUCCUGCUAAUCCUGCUUCAAGGAUGGAACCUUAAGGCUUGGCCAUGUCCAACAAGCAAAAGGCCUCUUUUUGACCAGAGUUUACAUGUUUUUACGAAGCCCAAAUUUACAGAGUCAGGUGAUAAGAGAAUGACAUUAGUUGAGAGCCGAGUGUAGAAGCCACGGCACAGCAAGUGCUCGAUACACUUUAACUCUCGUUUCUUUAGACCUAACACAACCAAAUUCUUGAAAUUCUGGUGGCAAGUCCCUGGCCCACAUCUUUCGUUUUGUCUAAAGAGCACAGCAACUCUGUGCCACAGUUUGAUUUGUCUUAGAAUAAAAGCAAAAUGUUAGCUGAGGAUGACGCUCUGUGGUGGAGCACUUGCCUUAUCGGUGGGAAGCCCAGUGGUGUGCAGGUAUAGGAAAAGGCAUGUUCUCAUGUGCGUGAGCGCUCGUGUGUGGGGUGCACAUGUGUGCACAUCAUUGAGGAAACUCAAGGUUGACAUCAGGAAUCUUCAACUGCUCUUCCACCUUAAGUGAGACACAGUCUCUCAAUUGCAUUCAUAUGUCAAUCUGGCUUGCCCCCUUUCUCCACAAUUUCCUUUUUCUACUCUCUGUGUGUUGUGAUCAUACCCAGUCAGCCAUUACUACCUGGAAUGUUUGUGGGUUUUGGGGAUCUGAACUCUGGUCCUCAUAGUUAGAUGGCAAGUGAUCUGACCACUGAUCUACCUCUCCAGUCCUCACUUUCACAUACUUUUGCAAGUGUUUCAGUCUUUAUGAUUAAUAUCUGUGGCAUACCUUUUCAGUAGCCUGGUUGAUGAACAAACCAGCUUCCAGUUUCUGCUAAAUUCAAAAAGCUUCCAGGAAAUGUCUCAGGCUUUCUUCAUCUCUCUCUCUGGCCCUCAUUACUGUUCCUUGUGAGUCAUGGGUACUCAACAUGUGUGUAUUGAGCCAAACAGAACACGAUCCAUUUCCCUCAAUCUGUUAUUUCUAACU